ACGAAGGGUGCAAGCGUUACUCGGAAUUACUGGGCGUAAAGCGUGCGUAGGCGGUUUGUUAAGACAGGUGUGAAAUCCCCGGGCUUAACCUGGGAACUGCGCUUGUUACUGGCAGACUUGAGUGUGGCAGAGGGGGGUGGAAUUCCCGGUGUAGUGGUGGAAUGCGUAGAUAUCGGGAGGAACAUCAGUGGCGAAAGCGGCACCCUGGCAUUAGCCUGACGCUCAGGUGCGAAAGCGUGGGGAGCGAACGGGA
rnacentral:rRNA from 1 species